UUGUAACUAUGGGAACUGGACCUAUGGAGCAGGUGUUGGCAAUGAUCCUAGAGAAGACCGUUAUUUUAGCAUCCCAAAGCAAG